AUGAAUAUUUCCCUCCUCUCUCGAUGGCUCUGGCGCAUCUCACAAGGGCACAUCGGCCUUUGGUUAGAUAUCAUCCGAAACAAGUACCUGCGUGGGCAACCCCUGGCCUUCUUUCAACGGUCUGGCGGAUCCCAAUUUUGGCAGUUGGUCAUCCAACUGCUCCCCGUUCUCCGCAUUGGGACUUACAUUUCGUUUGUAUCGGGAUCUGCGACUUUGUUCUGGUUUGACCGAUGGGCGGGGGACACCCCCUUCGCGGCUCGAUUCCCCGACCUCUUCUCCAUUGCUGUCGUCCCCUCGAUUUCAGUUGAGAGGGCCCUUAUUGACUUAGGGCGCCUCGCGUUCCGGAGGCCAUUUGGGCCUCCGGAAGCCGCCGCCUGGCAGGAGCUGCUUGAUUGCGUCGCUCUACACGAGCCGUUUGUUGAUGCUGAUCCGGAUGAGGUCCGAUGGCGUCUUGAGCCAUCAGGCCAAUUCUCCACCAAGUCCCUCUAUAUGGCCAUUGCCCCCUCCUCCGCCCCUCCCCCCUUCGUGGUGUGGGCCAUUCGCCUGCCUCUGAAAAUCCGGAUCUUCAUGUGGCAAUGGAUCCGCGGAGGGCUACGUCUGGGGUGGAGGUCCGCAAGCGCAAUGGUCCUGGCUCCGGCCUAUGCCCGCUGUGUGGUAUGA
rnacentral:rRNA from 1 species